UCUAAUCUGUUUCACCAAGUAUAUCAUCAUCGAAAAGAGCAGUUUACAAUGAAGCAAGCAAAAUAAAAACUGCAACUUCACAUCUUUUGAUGUUAUUUUUCUAUAGCGAAUCUAUCAUUGGCAAUAUCUUCUAGUCAAUACAGCAUUGAGAGAGACAAAAAAUGGAAAAUUAGAUAUAAAACAAGAAGAAUCUGACGAAGUUGUUGAUGAUCAAUUUCUUCAGUUUGGAGGUGAAGAGUUGACAAGUUUGUUGUGCCUCUUGGAUGGACCAGAAGGAGCAACAAAGCUCCCUUUGGGCAGUCUUGCAGAAAAUAAGCCUUCUGGUGAAGAGUGCUUCAGCUGGGAAUGCUUCAAGAUCAUUACUGAAGCAUCUUCUUUCAUCAGUGUUCUCCCUGGCCUGAUCGCCACGCUAGUGUUGACGAGAAGAAAUCCAAUAAAUAAUAAAUGAAUAAGUUUCUGGGUUAUUGAAAAUGAUAGAGAUGGCAAAGGAGAAGAUGCCAUGAGAAAACUUUCCUGUAGGGUUUUGA
rnacentral:lncRNA from 1 species